CGUAUUCAGGGAUGGCGCACAGCAGUGUCACCGGCUGCCCCGAUACCACAGCCUGGUCCUGGGGCUGCUGGCUGAAGGAGUACACUUGACCUAGGAAGGAAACGAAUGCAACGCAGACCCUGCGCCAGCCUCUCUGUCACUGGGAGCAAAUCAUCAGUGUGAACCCACACCUGCCCAUACAUACCUCCCUGAACCAUCUAAGAUGCAGAUACACGGCCGAGGAAAACAGGACCUGGUGGGCAGGCUGCCCCUCCCCCUGGAGAGAGUCAGAGGUGGCCACAGAGGUCCUGGACACUGGCUGCUGUCCAACUUGGGGACACAGAGCCCCAGGCUCGGUUAGGGCCAAGCUCUCAGCAGCAGACGGCCCUAAGAAGGGAGCCACUGGCGUGUGCCUCCAAGGGGCACUGGGGAUGGCAGUGGAGGAGAGACAGAGGUCCACACUGGAGAGUUUGUGGCAGGCGGGAAGGUAGCUGAGUUUUCAACCUGAUGAGAUCUUGGCCGGGUCUCUGAGAGAUCUCAUUAAAAAUCAAAUCGGCCCUGAAUUGGGAGAGUAACACUUUUUAUUCUGGUUUGAGCUUUAUAAAUUAGAUUUCAUAGGACAUUAUCAUCAGCUAUGUGUGGUGGGGUGGGAUUUCUUUUUUUUCUUCCUUUCUGUCUCUUCAAGUUCCCUGUUGUAAUUAGACUGUUUCUGGCACCAAAA